rnacentral:misc_RNA from 1 species
UCUCUCUCUCUCUCUCUCCCUCCCUCUCUCUCUCUCUCUUUAUUUUAUUUUAUUUUUUCUUUUGCAGGGAUGGAAUCUGAAGCCCCUACUGCUGCUACUAAAACUGACAACACAUGUAAGUAUGUCCAUUUGUUGAAUCCAAGUUUGUAACUUUUGUGGCAAAGUUACAAAAGAAGGGAGACACCGAGCUAAGCAACAUUUAGCUAGAGGAUUUUGAAAUGCUAUAAUGUAAUAAGAAGUGUCCAACACAUGUGCGUGAAGAGCUACAAGAGUAUAUGCAGCAAAAGGCUUCAGCAAAGAACUUAGAUUAACUGCCUAAUUAUGAGGAUGUUGAAACUCUUG